UCGGAGCCUGGAGCCUGCUUUGGAUUCUGUGUCUCCCUCUCUCUCUGCCCCUCCCCCACUCUUGCUCUGUCUCUCUCUCUCUCUCUCUCUCUCUCUCAAAAAUAAAGCAUUUAAAAAGGUCUAAAUACUAUAAAGGAUGUUAUUGUUAUCGCUGCUAUUUAGAAAGCAGGCUUGCUAAAUCUGACGGUUAUUUUGUUGUGCUGAGCAAAGUGCUGAUUGAUUGAUUGAUUGAUUGAUUUUUAUGUAAUUUAUUGUCAGGUUCGCUAACAUACAAUGUGCAGUGUGCUCUUGGCAUCGGAAGUGGAUUCCUGUGACUCAUCGCUUCCAUGCAACCCCCAGUGCUCCUCCCAACAAGUGCCCUCCUCGAUGCCCAUCACCCAUUUUCCCCACCCCCUUCCACCCCCUUCCACCCUCAGUUUGUUCUGUGUAUUUAAACGUCUCUUAUGGUUUGCCUCCCUGUCUGUAACUGUUUCUUUUUUCCUUCCCUUCCCCCAUGGUCUUCCGUUAAGUUUCCCAACUCACAUGUGAGUGAAAAAACAUGAUGUCUGUCUUUCUGUGCCUUAUUUCAGCAAAGUGCUGAUUUAAAUCAUGAAUGUCAUCUAACGACAGUUUCCUGUUUGCCCUGUCGACAGUUUCCUGUUUGCCCUGUCGUGUGUGUCUUGGAGAGUCUGUAACCCGACUACGACCCUGGCGGCAAGGAGUCAUUUUGACACCACCUUUCCUGGCACGAGGGCAGCCGGACAAACUAAAUAUGUGCAUGACAGAGAACAAAACCAAACCACGUGAUCUCACUGGCCGCUGCGUCAGAGUUCUGAUUUCGCUACUUCCGAAAUGAAAUCGAUCUUACCUUCUGUGGGAAGCGUAGUUUCCAGUCACGUGCCCGGAACCAUCGCAACCCGGGGUUGGACACCUGGAAAACACAGGAACAGAGUGCCGGCCGCGUGGUUGUGGGGGAGGGAAGGGGAGCAUGCCACGUUCAAGUAGAACUAAACAGAACGAGUUGCUUUUUGUGGGGCUCUUUUUUUCCCCCUUAAAUGUAAUGAGUUUUUGCCUAAGAAUACAUUUUCAAGGAAUAUGUUAAGGUGGGGGCGCCCGGGUGGCUCAGUCGGUUAAGCGUCGCACUUCGGCUCAGGUCAUGAUCUCGCGGUCCAUGAGUUCGCGCCCCGCGUCGGGCUCUGUGCUGAUGGCUCAGAGCCUGGAGCCUGCUUUGGAUUCUGUGUCUCCCCCCUUCUCUGCCCCUCCCCUGCUUGUGCUCUCUCUCUGUCUCUCAAAAUAUGAAUAAAUGUUAAAAAAAAAAGUAAAAAAAUAAAGAAUAUGUUAAGAUGUAUAAGAUAACUACCGUGUGAUGCCUGGCAGACAACGCAUUAGCUGUUAUCCUACCUUCUUUCUUUCUUCCUCUUUUUGACUUUAUUUUGGGAGGAAUCGGAAAUUUGGCCCGCAACCUACUGCUGGCCUUCUGUCUACAUCAUGCAAAGUUUUUCUUUCUCACUUAAGAAAAAAAAAAAGUUUUCCAAGUUGUUUUUGUGCACGAUUUAUUUUCUUUGAUUUGCUCCACGACCGUGAUAAUCUAUUAAAUUCACACGGACGAGAGUGGUAUGUGUGAGCUCCCGACACUUGGCACAUUAAUAUAGUUGCCAAAGAACCCAAGUCGUUUGCACCUGGUCUGUUCUGCCUCAUGGCCCAACUUAAAUGGCCUUUUGGAAAAUCUACCAAUAGCUAUUAUCGACAAUCAACCACUAAAUUUGGAAUGAGAAGGGGAAAAAGAGGAAGGGGAAUCCAAUUCUACUUGGAACGCUGAGUAGGAAUAGGUUUCAAAACAUACUUGAAAGUAAAAAUUGAUACAACUUCUCACCGAUCGUUACCUUUCUAAAAUAUCCCCAAUACUAAUGAAAACACAGUGGCCAAUAUAAGACGUUUGCUUUUCUGAAGGUUGCUGUACACAUUAUCAUUGUUAGUGUUCCACUUGUAUGCUCACCCUGGUUCAGAUUUCUCCCCAAACAAGAGUUUGAAGAUAAUAAUAAUAAUAAUGAUAAUAAUAAUAAGCAACAUGAAUACCAUUCCUUUUCUGAAACUCUAACCCACUGAACUUUCAUGAAAAUACUUUUAUAUCCAGUCCCGAGGCAGAACAUAGAGUGUAAAUGCUUUUUUUCCCAAAUGAAAUUUAAAAUCGGCAUACAUCUCGGCGAGCUAACCAGAGAAACCGGCUUUGUAUCUUUAACCGACCUUUUAAAGACCGAGUUGAUAUUCUACAUUGUAGGAGAGGACUGAAAGCUGGUCUUUUUUUUAUUAACAUUUCUAGGAAAAUAGUGGUUUCUUAGUAUAUUGCAAUUACAGAAAACUCAGUGACCUUGUUUUGGAAUUCUACUGGAGUAUCUAAACAAGAGGUCAAUGAAAUGUCUCUUUUUCUUUUUUGUAUAGAAAAAAACCCCAAAGAUGUUAGCUAUCAGAUGGCUGUACAAAACCUGUAAAUACUGAAUAUUGCUAUAGAACUUCUCGACCUACAUGCUUUCAAUAUGUUAUCAACAUUUUUUUUUCUAGAAAUAAUGCUCAGAGGAAAUACUUCAGAAAACCCACAGUUACAAUUAAGGCAGGGAAAUGUAGACAUUUAGAACAACUGAGUAAGACUGAAUAAAAGUACCAAGUAAGAUAA